CGGCGAGUGAAGCGGCAACAGCUCAAAUUUGAAAUCUGGCUCUUUUAGAGUCCGAGUUGUAAUUUGCAGAGGGCGCUUUGGCGUUGGCAGCGGUCCAAGUUCUUUGGAACAGGACGUCACAGAGGGUGAGAAUCCCGUACGUGGUCGCUAGCCUUCGCCGUGUAAAGCCCCUUCGACGAGUCGAGUUGUUUGGGAAUGCAGCUCUAAAUGGGAGGUAAAUUUCUUCUAAAGCUAAAUACUGGCCAGAGACCGAUAGCGCACAAGUAGAGUGAUCGAAAGAUGAAAAGCACUUUGGAAAGAGAGUCAAAUAGCACGUGAAAUUGUUGAAAGGGAAGCGCUUGCAGCCAGACUUGCCUGUAGUUGCUUAUCCGGACUUUUGUCCGGUGCACUCUUCUGCGGGCAGGCCAGCAUCAGUUUGGGCGGUUGGAUAAAGGUCUCUGUCAUGUACCUCCUUUCGGGGAGGCCUUAUAGGGGAGACGACAUGCAACCAGCCUGGACUGAGGUCCGCGCAUUUGCUAGGAUGCUGGCGUAAUGGCUGUAAGCGGCCCGUCUUGAAACACGGACCAAGGAGUCUAACAUCUAUGCGAGUGUUUGGGUGUCAAGCCCAGACGCGUAAUGAAAGUGAACGGAGGUGGGAACCUUUUAGGUGCACCAUCGACCGAUCCUGAUGUCUUCGGAAGGAUUUGAGUAAGAGCAUGGCUGUUGGGACCCGAAAGAUGGUGAACUAUGCUUGAAUAGGGUGAAGCCAGAGGAAACUCUGGUGGAGGCUCGCAGCGGUUCUGACGUGCAAAUCGAUCGUCAAAUUUGGGCAUA
rnacentral:rRNA from 1 species